AGAGCGAACGCUGGCGGCAGGCUUAACACAUGCAAGUCGAGCGCCCGUAGCAAUACGGGAGCGGCAGACGGGAUAGUAACACGUGGGAACGCGCCCUUCGGUUCGGAAUAACUCAGGGAAACUUGAGCUAAUACCGGAUACGCCCUUACGGGGAAAGAUUUAUUGCCGAAGGAACGGCCCGCGUCCGAUUAGCUAGUUGGUGAGGUAAUGGCUCACCAAGGCGACGAUCGGUAGCUGGUCUGAGAGGAUGACCAGCAUCACUGGGACUGAGACACGGCCCAGACUCCUACGGGAGGCAGCAGUGGGGAAUCUUGCGCAAUGGGCGAAAGCCUGACGCAGCAACGCCGCGUGAGGGACGAAGGCCUUCUGGGUUGUAAACCUCUUUCAGCAGGGACGAUUGUGACGGUACCUGCAGAAGAAGCCCCGGCCAACUACGUGCCAGCAGCCGC
rnacentral:rRNA from 1 species